rnacentral:rRNA from 1 species
AAAUUGAAGAGUUUGAUCAUGGCUCAGAUUGAACGCUGGCGGCAGGCCUAACACAUGCAAGUCGAACGGUAACAGGAAGCAGCUUGCUGCUUCGCUGACGAGUGGCGGACGGGUGAGUAAUGUCUGGGAAACUGCCUGAUGGAGGGGGAUAACUACUGGAAACGGUGGCUAAUACCGCAUAACGUCGCAAGACCAAAGAGGGGGACCUUCGGGCCUCUUGCCAUCAGAUGUGCCCAGAUGGGAUUAGCUGGUUGGUGAGGUAACGGCUCACCAAGGCGACGAUCCCUAGCUGGUCUGAGAGGAUGACCAGCCACACUGGAACUGAGACACGGUCCAGACUCCUACGGGAGGCAGCAGUGGGGAAUAUUGCACAAUGGGCGCAAGCCUGAUGCAGCCAUGCCGCGUGUAUGAAGAAGGCCUUCGGGUUGUAAAGUACUUUCAGCGGGGAGGAAGGUGUUGUGGUUAAUAACUGCAGCAAUUGACGUUACCCGCAGAAGAAGCACCGGCUAACUCCGUGCCAGCAGCCGCGGUAAUACGGAGGGUGCAAGCGUUAAUCGGAAUUACUGGGCGUAAAGCGCACGCAGGCGGUCUGUCAAGUCGGAUGUGAAAUCCCCGGGCUCAACCUGGGAACUGCAUUCGAAACUGGCAGGCUUGAGUCUUGUAGAGGGGGGUAGAAUUCCAGGUGUAGCGGUGAAAUGCGUAGAGAUCUGGAGGAAUACCGGUGGCGAAGGCGGCCCCCUGGACAAAGACUGACGCUCAGGUGCGAAAGCGUGGGGAGCAAACAGGAUUAGAUACCCUGGUAGUCCACGCCGUAAACGAUGUCUACUUGGAGGUUGUGCCCUUGAGGCGUGGCUUCCGGAGCUAACGCGUUAAGUAGACCGCCUGGGGAGUACGGCCGCAAGGUUAAAACUCAAAUGAAUUGACGGGGGCCCGCACAAGCGGUGGAGCAUGUGGUUUAAUUCGAUGCAACGCGAAGAACCUUACCUGGUCUUGACAUCCACAGAAUUCUGCAGAGAUGCGGAAGUGCCUUCGGGAACUGUGAGACAGGUGCUGCAUGGCUGUCGUCAGCUCGUGUUGUGAAAUGUUGGGUUAAGUCCCGCAACGAGCGCAACCCUUAUCCUUUGUUGCC